rfam:Pteropus alecto contig68365, whole genome shotgun sequence.
GGUUCCAGAGUGUGGCGGUUAGCACAUCUGCUUUACACUCAGAAGAUCCUGGAUUCACACCCCAGCGGAGCCA